rnacentral:misc_RNA from 1 species
GAAAUGCGAUAACUAGUGUGAAUUGCAGAAUUCCGUGAAUCAUCGAGUCUUUGAACGCACAUUGCGCCCCCUGGUAUUCCGGGGGGCUUGCCUGUCCGAGCGUCAUUGCUGCCCAUCAAGCACGGCUUGUGUGUUGGGUCGUCGUCCCCUCUCCGGGGGGGACGGGCCCCAAAGGCAGCGGCGGCACCGCGUCCGAUCCUCGAGCGUAUGGGGCUUUGUCACCCGCUCUGUAGGCCCGGCCGGCGCUUGCCGAACGCAAAUCAAUCUUUUUCCAGGUUGACCUCGGAUCAGGUAGGGAUACCCGCUGAACUUAAGC